GGAGUUCUUUUUAGAUUUCUUUAAGCUUUUUCUAUCUGGAAUUGUCUGCUCUGCAGCUCUGUGUUCUUUUGUGUUUGACCCUGGUUGCUCAUCCUUGUUUGUGAGAAGGGUCCCUGUUGCUGCACAUAACUGCACUUCGUUGGCAUUCCCAUAUAGUGUUCUGUUACCUGGAUGUGUCGGCAUGAAUUUGAUCUCGUGUUGCUGGGCACUUAUACUGUUUCCAGUUUGAGGCUCUUAUGCUUAAAGCUGCUGUAAACAUUCUGGUCCAUAUCUUAAAAAAAAAAAAAUUUGGUGAAUUCUUUUUUUUUUUUUUAUUUCCUAGGGCUGCACCCACGGCGUAUGGAGGUUCCCAGGCUAGGGGUCGAAUUGGAGCUGUAGCCGCUGGCCUACGCCACAGAUCCAAGCUGUGUCUGUGACCUACACCACAGCUCACAGCAACGCCGGAUCCUUAACCCACUGAGUGAGGCCAGGGAUCGAACCCGCAACCUCAUGGUUCCUAGUCAGAUUCGUUAACCACUGAGCCACGAUGGAAAUUCCGAUUUGCUGAGUUCUGAUUGGUAUAAAUAAAGGGCACAUAUUUCAAGUGCACAGUUUGACGAGCGUUGACACCAAUGAUUCACGUAUAUAAAUCACAUAUAUAUGGUGAAAACAUCACUGAGCUCAGGAGAGUGGACAGAUGCACAGUCCCAUCCCCUCAAAGUUUCCUCAUGCCCUUUUGUCAUCCCUGCCUCCCGUCCAUCCCAGAGACCCCUCCAUGGCCAGGCAACGGCUCUUCUGCUAUCUCUUUAUACUAAUUAGCAUUUUCUUGUUUUGUAGAUGGAAUCCGUACACUGUAUACUGCUUUUUGGUUUGGGAGUCUAGACUAUUGCCCUUAGCCUAAUUAUCUUUAGAUGUAUACCUGCUGAUAUGUGCAUGUUUGUGUGUUCACAGGUGGUCCUUUUUUAUUGCUGAGUAGAAUUCCGUUGUCUGGAUAGAUCACAGUUUGCUUGCCAUUCACACGUUGAAGCCUAUUUGGAUUAUUUCCAGUUUGGGGCUGUUAAAGCUGCUAUGAAUAUUCCUGUGCACGUCUUGCGGGGGGGCGGGGGACAUACACUUCCAUUUGUACUAGGUAAAUACAUAGGAGUGGCAUGGCUGGGCCAUAGAAUAGGUGCAUGUAUAAAUCUUCAGAAACUCCUAAUUGGUUGCAGAGUGGUUGUACCAUUUUACGUGCCCAUCAGCGGCAUAGGGGAGUUCCAGUGGCUCCCCAUCCUCCCCAACACUUGCUGUGGUUGGUCUUCCAGAUUUAAGCUGUUCUGAUGAGCAUGCAGUCGACGCUCACUGUGAUUUGACCUGAUCCUUCUUUCAUGCUAAUAAUGUUGAAUACAUUUUCAUGCCUUUUCAUGAACAUUCGGACAUAUGUCUGUGGAGCAUAUGCCCCAGGGAAUCAUUCUUUGGUCACAAGGGACAGGAUCAGAUCUGUGUUGAAAAGAGAUGCUCCAGAAGGUGAACUAGAGGAAGCCAGGCGACCCCUCAGGAGAUUGCAGUAUUUAUUUUACUUUUUCUUCUGCUUAUUCCUUUUUGUCUCCCUGUGUCCUGCAUUCCAACUAAAUUAUGAGCUUCUAAAAAGCAAUACAAAGCCUCCUGACUCUUUAUUUUCUCCCUAGUUCCUCACACUGAGUGUUUUCCCCGCGUGGAGGUGAGAAGGACUCACCUGCUUUGAUGGUCCCCCGUGUGCUCUGGAUGUCUCCACGGGUUACAUGGUUUUUGUCUUUGGCACUUUAGGAGGAAAGGUAAUAUCUCCAUGUCACAGCUGAGAUGCUGAGGCUCAGGGAGAUGAGCAAGUCCCCAGAGUCUCAGAGCCGCGAAUCAGGGGAGCAGGAGCUCAUAAUAGCUCUGUCUGAUGUCAGAGUCCUCAUUCUUUCUCGCAGGUGCCUCGUCUGCCUUUGCCCGCCCUGCCUCUCAGGGCUCCGGGGAGACACAGCUGAGUGAUUGAAGAGAAGUGCAUCCGAGGGCUCUGCUGAGAGCCUCUCCUCCUGCGUCAGGACUGUUGGCUCCACGCUCAGAGGCUCUCCCGGGACCUCCAUCCAGUCUCCUCUUGUGCCCCCGACCCAUGAUGCUGGGGACAGAAUUUUGAAUAGUCGCAUUGGUACCCUAAAGUACCAAUGGAACCCUAAAGGAUGCCUCGUAAAUGCCACUCCCCAUUGCCCACGACCAGCUCUUGGGUGGUGAAUGCCGUCCUUUGACUACAGAAUACCUUAAGUGCCCUUCCUCACUUUGCAGCCUCCCAUUCUGCCCC
rnacentral:lncRNA from 1 species